rnacentral:lncRNA from 1 species
UGGGAAUUGUAGUAAAAAGAAAAAUUCCUUUCCUGGCUUGUAGAAGUUUGCAGCAGAAAGAAAUAUCAUUAAAAAAUUUUCUACCGGUCUUCUAGUAAUGUGCUAUCUUUUCAAUGCAUUGUAACGUUUUAAAACAAAAGUAUAUGACUUCUGCUGCUUACUAAAAGCACCAUUUGAUACUGUGAGAGGAAGAGUUCUUAAGCAUAUGUAGGCUUUAGUCUUUGUUAAAAUGUGAUGUGUUAGCUUAAUUUGAACAUAGUUUUCCUUGAAGCCAAAUCUUAAAUCCCUGGUGACAGAAUCUGAGAGAGAAGUACAGUCCUUGAGACUGGGAGUAGUGAGAAAAGUACAAAGGUGGAAAACAAUUUGGCAGAAAAUUACAAAACAAGAUACAGACAGUCAGUCACAAAAGAUGAGGGAGAGAAGUUGAAAAAGAAGUUAAGCAUCAAGUAUAAUCAGAUGGAAAGUCAAAGAUAGACCUUCAUAGUUUAAACAAGUCAAAGCCCAGGAUAGUGCUUCUGGGAUUCCUUGGAGGAAAGGUUUAAAAUGAAGAUUUUCUCAAGUGAUUUGUACCUUUAGAGGAGUUUCCAAAAAACCUUGAAAGAACAGAAUGAGUAAAGCCAUGGAUUCUGUUGCUCAUUGCUCAAAAUGAACAAGUGAGAUGAUCAGUUUUCUGUCUGGAGAAUGGAACCAGGAUAUAAAGAUGGAUUGCUACCAGUACACUAACUGGCUGGUUGACAGUGAAUUGGACAAGAUCUUCUUCUGGAAGUGUCUAUUUCCAUGGCCAUUUGUAAGAUUCCUGGAUCAAUCCUAUUCAGCAGCA